AGCGAACGCUGGCGGCAGGCUUAACACAUGCAAGUCGAACGCCCCGCAAGGGGAGUGGCAGACGGGUGAGUAACACGUGGGAACGUACCCUUUGGUUCGGAAUAACUUGGGGAAACUCAAGCUAAUACCGGAUAAGCCCUUAUGGGGAAAGGUUUACUGCCGAAGGACCGGCCCGCGUCUGAUUAGCUAGUUGGUGAGGUAAUGGCUCACCAAGGCGACGAUCAGUAGCUGGUUUGAGAGGAUGAUCAGCCACACUGGGACUGAGACACGGCCCAGACUCCUACGGGAGGCAGCAGUGGGGAAUAUUGGACAAUGGGGGCAACCCUGAUCCAGCCAUGCCGCGUGAGUGAUGAAGGCCUUAGGGUUGUAAAGCUCCUUUACCCGGGACGAUAAUGACUGUACCGGGAGAAUAAGCCCCGGCUAACUUCGUGCUAGCAGCCGCCGCAG
rnacentral:rRNA from 1 species